rnacentral:rRNA from 1 species
UACGUAGGGUGCGAGCGUUGUCCGGAAUUACUGGGCGUAAAGAGCUCGUAGGUGGUUUGUCGCGUUGUCCGUGAAAACUCACAACUCAAUUGUGGGCGUGCGGGCGAUACGGGCAGACUGGAGUACUGCAGGGGAGACUGGAAUUCCUGGUGUAGCGGUGGAAUGCGCAGAUAUCAGGAGGAACACCGGUGGCGAAGGCGGGUCUCUGGGCCGAAACUGACGCUGAACUGCGAAAGCUAGGGGAGCGAACGGG